rnacentral:misc_RNA from 1 species
UCUGACGUUUGUCCUGGUUUCUCAACGAAUUCAGCUGUUUUAAAAAUAUCAAACGAUGUCAGAUGGCUAUGGAAUAAGUGAGUGGAGAAGGCUGGAGAUACGGCUACGGAAUCGCCCACGGGCCUCACGGGAUAGGACAUGCCACCGGUGAAUCCUUCC